AUUGAACGCUGGCGGAAUGCUUUACACAUGCAAGUCGAACGGCAGCACGGGGGCAACCCUGGUGGCGAGUGGCGAACGGGUGAGUAAUAUAUCGGAACGUGCCCAGUCGUGGGGGAUAACGUAGCGAAAGUUACGCUAAUACCGCAUACGAUCUACGGAUGAAAGCGGGGGAUCGCAAGACCUCGCGCGAUUGGAGCGGCCGAUAUUAGAUUAGGUAGUUGGUGAGGUAAAGGCUCACCAAGCCAACGAUCUGUAGCCGGUCUGAGAGGACGACCAGCCACACUGGGACUGAGACACGGCCCAGACUCCUACGGGAGGCAGCAGUGGGGAAUUUUGGACAAUGGGCGCAAGCCUGAUCCAGCCAUUCCGCGUGCAGGACGAAGGCCUUCGGGUUGUAAACUGCUUUUGUACGGAACGAAAAAGCCUUGGCUAAUACCCAGGGUCCAUGACGGUACCGUAAGAAUAAGCACCGGCUAACUACGUGCCAGCCGCCGCAGUAA
rnacentral:rRNA from 1 species